CUGAGCCUUCCUGCACAGAGGCCUCAGCUCCCCACUGUCUAACUACUGACUGACUGACUGACUGACAGAUGCCUGAACUGCACAGGUCAACUUUACUUCCAGAAAUGACCUUGUUUCAGGAUAACAUGCACACAUCAAUGAAUUCUGCACAUAUAUCUGAUUCAGCAACAUCCAUUCACUUCAACAGAAAGCUCCUGUUCUCAGCCAAUCAAAAAUUUAUCUCCUCUCGGGGUCAUAGGCUCGGCCGGCUGAAUACAACUGCCAGUCAGACCGACUUGUGGAACAUAAAGCCCCCUGACUUUACCCCGAAACUGUACAGGUCACUAAGCUUACCACAGAUUAAAAAGAAAACCCUUGACCCGGCCAUACCCAGAGAGAGUCUGAGACAAACAUCUCUAUUCCUUUUACCAAACCUGGAAAAGAAGAUGACUGAACCAUCGUUUAUCAGGUCGUAUAAAGCCCCUGACCUGCUGGAGUCACAGCUGCUGUUUGUGAAGUCAGGACAGUAUCCCAACCUUCCUUACAAAAACCCAAAACCACACAAUUUUAGACCAUGUGCUGACAACAUGCCUGAUAUGGUCACCACCAUAGAAAAGGAUCCUGGGAAUUUGAAGUUUAAGUCUCAGUACUUGGAAUCAAAAAUUGUUGAACCCAGCCUUUGUCAGAGAGAAGAACUGAGAAAAAUAGACACCUUCAAACCAGCAGAACUCAAGUGGGAUUCCAAACUCAUACUACCAAAAUCCCCCUGGCCACCGAAGUCAGCUUCAUACACGAGGCAUCGGCGCAGAAGAGGAGUGUACAGUGCUUUUAUGGAUCGUGUGGAGGAGAAGCUCACCAGGUCUUGGAUGAAAGAAUAAUGAGACAAAAUCAUUUUAAAAACCACAGUAGAGCUGUGAAGUGGACUGUAGAAGGAAUUUAGACAUUUUAAGUGAGAUUCCAAACCACAGGAAGUGGAAGCUUUCAGAUAAAAGGGAACUUCAGAGAACAUAGGAAGUAGUGAAUAUCAGUUUAUUACUUCAUAUGAAACUGAUUUUUUUUACUCAUCUGUCACAACACAAUGGAAACAUCACAUCAACCUGUUGUAUACCCAUAAAAUCACAUUUAUUUUCAUUUUACAUACAAAAAAUGAUAGACUGCUGCAGCUCAUUUGUUUGCUAGUUACUUUAGCAGGCAAAGAAGCUGCUGAAGAAUAUUGUUAACCCAGCUAGGGCUGGACAAAAUAUGAAUAUGAAUAGAAAUUAAUAAGUGGGGAUUUACCUAAAUGAUGUAUAUUCCCU
rnacentral:lncRNA from 1 species